CCCUUGGUUAUCUCUAUCCAGUCUGUAUGGCUGGACUGCUUUGUAAAAGAGUUGGCAUCUAAAGCCUUUCACAAAGAAGGAUGGGGAAUGCUAAAAAGUAAAAAAAAAGAGAGAGAAAGGAUCCGUAUACAAAUUGUGUACUAAACUAGAGUGGUUCAGCUGAGGGAUGAGGGAGACUCCCCUAAGCAGGAACUUCUGUUGAAAGAGAUAAACUGAAAACAGACAAAGAAUAUGCUUUUAAAGAAUCUUACUGCUAAUAAAACAAAAUCUCUGGACAUCUUCCUUUUCCAAAUAUCACCCUAACAAGUAGCAGAUUUUAGUUAAAGUAUUUAGUGUAGACAACUACAGCUAUAAAGUACUAACAGUCUUGUGGCUCCUUUGCAGCGUUCUGGUUGUGCAAAGAAGAAAGUUGUUGUUGCCCGAGACACAUCACAUGUUCUAAGCAGAAGAGCCUAUGAUGUACAGAAUGCCUCUUCUCCUUCAAACGGCAGCCACUCUGACAUGCAGGGCGGAUCAUUUAUUGCAACCAGUGGAUCAAGUAAUCAGGGUGGUUGCAUUUGUCCUGAUGGAAGCAGUGGUCAUAGACCGGGAGCCCCAGGUUCUUCAUACAGCACAUAUUCUGGUAACCAGGGAGGGCAUUCCUACUAUGGACCUGGUGGAUCUUACGGACAGGGAGGGACUUCUUCUUAUGAUGGCAGCAGUGAAUCCUAUGGUCAGGGUGGAUCUUCUGUAUAUAGUGGUUCUGAGGCUUACGGCCAGGAUUCACCUGCCAUGGGAGCCAGUGAAACUGAAGAUAGUGAUUCCUCCUCAGCAUCUGGUGGCCGCCAGAGUGAACGGGAUUUUUAUUCCCCAGGAGGCAGCCAGUCAGGUGGACAUGGGUCAUCUUCUCAAAGUGGCAGCUACUCCAGUGGACAGGACUCAUACUCAUCUGGAAGCAGCCAGUAUGGUGGGCAGGGUUCAUCCUCCUCAGGAGGCAGCCAGUCUGGUGGACAGGGUGGAUGUGAUUGUUCUGGGACAAAUUCUGGUGGAUCCCCUACUUUAGUCAGAAGUGAUUCCUCUGCAAAUGGCACAUCUUCUUUUGGAGGCAGCCACUACAACAGCCAGGAUUCAUAUUCCUCUGGAGCUAACCAGUAUGGAGGACAUGGUUCACGUUCCCCAGGAGGCAGCCAAUAUGGUGGACAGGGUUCACCUUCUUCAGGAGGCAGCCAGUAUGGAGGACAGGGUCCAUCUUUCUCAGGUGGCAGACCUUAUGGAGGACAGGGCUUUUCUUCAGGGGUCAGGCAGUCUGGUGGACAGGGUGGGUGUGUGUGCCCCGGUGGAGGUUCAGGCUCUUUCUCAGGAACCAACUACCAUGGUGGACAGGGUUCAUAUCCUGGAAGUAAUCAGUAUGGUGGACAGGGAUCUUAUCCCUCAGGAGGCAGCCAGUAUGGUGGGCAGGGCUCAUAUCCUUCUGGAGGCAAACAACAUGGUAAACCAGGUUCCUCUUCCUCAGGAGGCAGUCAACAAGGAAAGCCAGGUGGCUCUGGCUCAGGAAGCACUUACUCUGGGAAACCGCAAUCACCCUACUCAGGCGGCAGUCAAGUGAGCUCUGCUGGGAAACACUCAACUCCCCAACUCCUGAUGUUAUUCAGUGUUUUGAGUGCCUUUGCUCUCUCUGCUGCUGUAUCAAAAUGGUCUAUAUGAACUUCUGUGGUGUUACUUGACAUCCUAAACACUGAUUAUAAUCUGUAUUAUUAAUUACUUAAUGUAUAAAAAAUACCAUUAAGUCAAAUUGGCAGAUGCUACUUGGCUGUUAUGUUGCAUGUCUAGCUGGUAUGUCAUGUCCCUCAUUAGUUUACCUCUGGUUUUAGUCAUUAGUAGUUCUCAUUAGUUGUGUCAGUGUUUUAGGCAUCAUUUUAAGAGAGCAUAUGGUACCCUACCUAUAGGAUAUGUUUUUAUUUCCAAUAGGGAAUGCAAUGAACACCUACAUGAAAUGAUUGGUGUAACAAAUGAAUACUUAGGGAAAUAUUUGGUUAUUAGCCAAAGUGGACAAGGUGAAAUAAAUUGUUGUAUAUGCAAACUGAGCA
ensembl:lncRNA